rnacentral:rRNA from 1 species
UACGGGGGGGGCAAGCGUUGUUCGGAAUUACUGGGCGUAAAGGGCGCGUAGGCGGUUGGAUAAGUCAGCUGUGAAAACCACGGGCUUAACUCGUGGCCUGCAGUUGAAACUGUCUGGCUAGAGUGUGGGAGAGGGAAGUGGAAUUCCUGGUGUAGCGGUGAAAUGCGUAGAUAUCAGGAGGAACACCGGUGGCGAAGGCGGCUUCCUGGACCACAACUGACGCUGAGGCGCGAAAGCUAGGGUAGCAAACAGG